AUGAAGAAACUUGGACUUCUCCCUGCUUCACAGAUGGGUUAUGAGGCACUCCAAAGAAAGCGGCAUUCUAAGAAGUAUUAUGACCAUCUCCUUGGAAACCACGUGGCAUCACUUUACCACAUUCUUUUGGUCACAAGGAGAAGGAAUUAUAUACCAGCUGUUUUUGGAGGCAUGUGUCAGGCUGGAAUGCACUGGCACAAUCAUGGCUCACUGCUGCCAUGGACUCAUUCCUGGGCUCAAGUCAUCCUCCCACCUCAGCCUUCUGAGCAGCAAGGACUACAGGGUCUCACUCUGUUGCCCAGGCUGGAGUGCAUUGGUGCGAUCUUGGCUCACUGCAGCCUCCGCCUCCCAAGUUCAAGCGAUUCCUCUGCCUCAGCCUCCCGGGUAGCUGGGACUACAUGCCAGUGCCACCACACCACCAGGUUAUUAAUUUUAAUGGCAAAAACCACAAUUACUUUUGCACCACCAAGAUAUAUAUAUGUAUUAUAUAUGUGUGUGUAUACUAUGUAUAUAUGUAUGUAUAUAUAUGUGUGUGUAUGUAUGUGUAUAUAUGUGUGUGUGUAUAGGUU
rnacentral:lncRNA from 1 species